CCGAGCGAGAAUUCUCUGAAUUCAACCUCCCACCCGUGUUUAUUGUACCUUGUUGCUUCGGUGCGCCCGCCUCACGGCCGCCGGGGGGCACCCGCCCCCGGGCCCGCGCCCGCCGAAGACACCAUUGAACGCUGUCUGAAGAUUGCAGUCUGAGCAUCUUAGCUAAAUCAGUUA
rnacentral:misc_RNA from 1 species